AGAGGCUGCCCAUGUUCCUUGGCUUGCGUCCCCUUCCUCCACCUUCAAAAUCAGCAAAGACCUCGCUGAGAAUCUGAGGAGAGCUAUGGAUCUCUUCUCCGAAAAAUGCGCAAGUCCACAGAUACAAAAAGUGUGAGCUUCUUUGUGCUGCCCUCUACCCUGUGGGUCUAGAGCAGGGCUUGCCACAUAAACGAAAAAGACGUACUUUUCCUGUGGGAUUCGGGGAAUGAAGCAGAGCACAGCCUUCUCUCUGACGCUGCUGUGAUAUAUGCUCUAGAGACAAUGAUGAGAGCUGCGACAUGGAAAAGUUUUGGGACUUUUGGAAAAAAGUCUUGAAAUUCGGGGUGUUACACAAGAGGAUAUGACUUGUCCUGUGAAUAAAGAUCUACAGGAAAAUUUUACAAA
rnacentral:lncRNA from 1 species